rnacentral:rRNA from 1 species
GAAAGUAAGAAAGGGCGUAUGGCGGAUGCCUAGGCUCACGGAGGCGAUGAAGGACGUGAUAAGCUGCGAUAAGCUUCGGGUAGGUGCAAAUAACCUUUGAUCCGAAGAUUUCCGAAUGGGACAACCUAGCCGUCUGAAGGACGGUUACUCUUACCAAUGUAAGAGAGCUAACGCAGGGAACUGAAACAUCUUAGUACCUGCAGGAAGAGAAAAUAAAUGAAUGAUUCCCCCAGUAGUGGCGAGCGAACGGGGAACAGCCCAAACCGUUGACGUCGCAAGGCGCCAGCGGGGUUGUAGGACCGCGACAUUGUACUGAAAUGGUGAGUGGAAGUAUCUGGAAAGUUACAUCACAGAAGGUGAUAAUCCUGUACACGAAGCCAGAUCAGGCAUAGCGGUAUCCUGAGUAACGCGGGACACGAGGAAUCCUGCGCGAAUCUGCCGGGACCAUCCGGUAAGGCUAAAUACUCCCGUGAGACCGAUAGCGAACGAGUACUGUGAAGGAAAGGUGAAAAGAACCCCGAGCAGGGGAGUGAAAUAGUUCCUGAAACCAUACGCCUACAAGCGGUCGGAGCAUCUUACGAUGUGACGGCGUGCCUUUUGCAUAAUGAUCCUACGAGUUACCGUCACUGGCGAGGUUGAGUGUCAUGAGACACGUAGCCGCAGUGAAAGCGAGCCUGAAUAGGGCGCACAGUCAGUGGGGGUAGACGCGAAACCAAGUGAUCUACACUUGGCCAGGAUGAAGUCCCGGUAACACGGGAUGGAGGUCCGCACCAAUAAGCGUUGAAAAGCUUCUGGAUGAGCCGAGUGUAGGAGUGAAAGGCCAAUCAAACUUGGAGAUAGCUCGUACUCCCCGAAAGGCAUUUAGGUGCCGCGUCGGAUGGUCACCGUGAGAGGUAGAGCGACCGAUAGGACAAGAGGGCUUCACCGCCUAUCGAGUCCUGACGAACUCCGAAUGCUCACGGUCUGCAGUCCGGCAGUAAGGGGGCGGGUGCUAAGGUCCGUCCCCGAGAGGAGAAGAAUCCAGACCGCCGUCUAAGGUCCCGGAGUUCUGCCUGAGUUAGUCUAACGAAGUCUGGUCCCUAUGACAGCUAGGAUGUUGGCUUGGAAGCAGCCAUUCAUUCAAAGAGUGCGUAACAGCUCACUAGUCGAGGGUCCGGGCAUGGAUAAUAAUCGGGUAUAAGGCAGACACCGAAGGCGCGGGAUAGCAAUUAUAAAAGUAUCGGUAGGGGAGCAUACUCACAGCGUCGAAUGGUGUACGUAAGUUAUCCUGGAGCGGUGAGUAAAGCAAAUGUAGGAAUAAGUAACGAUAAGGAGGGUUAGAUUCCCUCCCGCUGUAAGACCAAGGUUUCCCGGGCAAUGCCAAUCAGCCCGGGGUCAGUCGGGUCCUAAGUCUAAGCCGAACGGCGAUGGCGAUGGCAGAGACGGUUAAUAUUCCGUCACUGCCGCAUGGGGCGACGUGGAGACGGAGCAGUGAAACCACCGCGGGGCGACGGAAGUCCCCGUUGAAGAGUGUAGGUGUUGAGGAUGGCAGGCAAAUCCACCAUCCGAACUGAACUUGAUAGUACGGAGUCCUCCUCGGAGGAAUCUGAUAGUGUGGGUAAUCAUACUCCCGAGAAAAUCCGCUAAGCUUAACCCAUGCGGCACCCGUACCGCAAACGGACACACGUGGUCGGGUAGAACAUACUAAGGCGUUGAGAGAUUCAUGGUUAAGGAACUAGGCAAAUUGACCCUGUAACUUCGGGAUAAAGGGUCCUCGUGAUGAGCGAGGCGCAGAGAAUAGGUCCAGGCAACUGUUUAACAAAAACACAGGGCUGUGCAAACUCGAAAGAUGACGUAUACAGCCUGACACCUGCCCGGUGCCGGAAGGUUAAGAGGAGAUGUCACUCGCAAGAGGAAGCAUUGAAUUGAAGCCCCGGUAAACGGCGGCCGUAACUAUAACGGUCCUAAGGUAGCGAAAUUCCUUGUCGGGUAAGUUCCGACCUGCACGAAUGG